GACCCUAUAGCUCAGUUGGUAGAGCAUCCUAGAUAUUAUGGGAAGGUCCUAGGUUCAAAUCCUAGUGUGAUCA
rnacentral:tRNA from 1 species